rnacentral:tRNA from 1 species
GGAGGCCUUAGCCUAAUUAAGGUGUUUGAGUUGCAUUCAGGAGAUGUGAAGUAAAGUUUCUCAGGUCUUA